CGGAUUUACUUAGUCAUAAAUAAACAUAAAUAUAAUAUUAAUUUGUAAAAGAAUAUACCAGUCAACCAAACGUCAUAUACCCUUUUGGUUCGCUCGGGAAGAAAUGGACUAGUCUCUCAUUGUAAGUGUCCAAACAAAUUCUUUCUCUGGACAGACGACAACCGAUCAUCAGAGUAAAAAAAGGGAACAAAGAAAUGCCCACCAGCAGCUUUCUCAGCCGGAAGAAAGACGCGCGCUUGCCUCGCCCCUGCCCCGUGAUCCUCGACUCGGGCUUCGUCACCGACGACGAGUCCGAGUGCUGCGUCGGCGGCGCCGCUAGCCACUCCCCUCCCCAGCCGCACACUUCCACCUCCUUCCAAGUCGAGGUCCGCCCCGGUUUGCUCCCUGCUCCCAUCCGACCUGACGAUUCCCUCGGCCCUGACGAUCCCGUCAUCGCCCCCUAUGCCGACUUCGUCCACUUCACGCAGUGCCCCGAGGUCCCCCGGAAGCUGGCGGGUCGCGACGAGAUCCGGAGCCAGUCGUGGCCUCUCCCAGCGCCCGAGGAGAUGUCGUCCAAGACGCAGCAAGUAUCGCUCAAGUCGUCGUCCAUCCCCGCCGUCUUCUUCGCCAAGCGCCACCGCUUCACCAUCUUCAACUAUGGCGAUCUGCUGGAGACGUCCGGGGACUGCAACUCUUGCACCGUCGCCGUUGCCGCGGGCGACCGGGAGGACGAGGAGAUCGCCCGCUUCACCGAGCUUAGCAGCAAGGUGGACUACUGCAUCCGGGUGAAGAACUCGUACCAGUUCUCCAACGAGAUUGGAACCGACCCCGAGGGAGUGUUCCGCGACUGCAAGCCCCGGAUCUGUGCCGUCUGCUCCGUCAAGACCAAGGCCUCGCUCCUGCCCGACUUGCGCCACAAGUACCGCUUCACGUUCUUCCACACCAUCCACGUCUACUCCCCGACUGGCGCCGAGGUGGAGAGCAAAGUCGUCCUGGACGAAAAGUCCAAGAUCGAGCCCGUCUCCAUCAUGAAGAUCUGUCCCACGGGCCGCAAGAUGGAGAAGCUCAAGCCUGAGAUUGUGACGCUGCUACAGGUGACGCACUUCGUGAGGGUUGAGACGAGCGUCAACACCGAUAUCUCGCCAUCUAUGAUGCCGCGUCCACUGGCUCCCGAGUUUCGAGAGCCCAAGCUGAUAAUUAUCGACGAGGACGUGCACGGGAAAGCACCUCCAGGACCGCCACCUGAGCCCGAGCCAGAACCAGAGCCAAAAGCCGUGGAACCGCCCAAGAGACCCAGCAGAUCCGAGCCAGCAGGUAAUGCCACCCCACCAAUAUGCUGCCGUUUGUACUCAUCGUUUCCUUGCAGGGGACCAAGAACAAGAGCAAGCUGCCGAAUAGUCGAAAAUAUUAGCUCAAACUCUUAGUAUCAUAACGAGACAAACCUCUCUUGGCGGACGAACUUGUGCUCAGAGACAGCAACGCAAAGAGUCGCUGCCGAGUUUAGCUCGUGACACACACUCCACGCUCCUGCAGUCAUUCAGGACCUGUAAAUCGGAGCAAAAGAGUGUAAGUCCACAGCAGUACAUGUAACUUUGAAGCGCGCUCACAUAUUUCAUGCAUGCUCCCGUGUCCGCCAGUUGUCGAGCCAGCUUUACUCGUCACCAACAUCCCAUGAUGUAGAACUACAAGUCGCAUAGUUCAAUCAUCGGAUCUCUAUGAGGUGACAGCUCCCAGAAUGCCGCGUGCUUUGUCCUGCUUCACCUUGUCCAUAGUCUCCAUGGCUACGUAGAGCGGAACAUAUAUAAAUAUGGUGACUUGAGAGCGCUGUGACCUCGCUUGAGUGAGAAGAAUGUCAAUCCGGGGGAUGGUCCUGAUAACUAUUGCCGUCUGCAUCGGUCUGGUACACGGGCAAAGUGCAUCGAGUCUCGCAGGCAGCUUCCCGUCCACCACAUUCGAGCAGACUUGCGCUGCAUCCUGGGGGCAGCCGAAUUCCCAAGGAAGUGUCAUCCAGCUGAAACUUGACCAAGCAUCA
rnacentral:lncRNA from 1 species